rfam:Candidate division WWE3 bacterium GW2011_GWC2_44_9 TW82_C0017, whole genome shotgun sequence.
GGGGAUGAUCGGCUUCGACUAGCUUUACUUUAGUAUAUAAGCAAGCCAAAGAUGUUGGAAUUUUGUGAGGAUCCACAAGCUAACGCUUGUGUCUCCUCCCGCCCGCAUACGCGGGUGGUUAAGCCCAACAAAGGAAAAAUGCAAAGAAAAAUGCAUACGAGGUUGCUUACGCUACCGCGGUUUACGAACCAGCUUACGCAUAAGUAACGUAUCCGCCUUAAGCGGACUCGGAUCCUGGGCUUUCUAUCCGGAGAGUAGCUUAAAAGGGUCUUAUACAACCGGAAUGAGGGUUUAAAGGUUGGCAGCUUUAAAUCCAAAAGGAUUAACCUUAAACAACAGCCUAGAAGAGGAUUACGGCGCGCCAGAGCACCGCCUUUUGACAUAACUUCUGGCUAAGCUUGUAGUACUUAGAUAUUGAAGAAAGUUAGAACGGGGGUUCGAUUCCCCCCAUCUCCACCA